UCUUCCGCAAUGGACGAAAGUCUGCCGGAGCAACGCCGCGUGAGUGAUGAAGGUUUUCGUAUCGUAAAACUCUGUUAUUAGGGAAGAACAAAUGCGUAAGUAACUGUGCGCAUCUUGAUGGUACCUAAUCAGAAAGCCACGGCUAACUACUUUCUAGCAGCCGCGGUAAUACGUAGGUGGCGAGCGUUAUCCGGAAUUAUUGGGCGUAAAGCGGGCGUAGGCGGUUUCUUAAGUCUGAUGUGAAAGCCCACGGCUCAACCGUGGAGGGUCAUUGGAAACUGGGAAACUUGAGUACAGAAGAGGAAAGUGGAAUUCCAUGUGUAGCGGUGAAAUGCGCAGAGAUAUGGAGGAACACCAGUGGCGAAGGCGACUUUCUGGUCUGUAACUGACGCUGAUGUGCGAAAGCGUGGGGAUCAAACAG
rnacentral:rRNA from 1 species